rnacentral:rRNA from 3 species
UGCUGGAGGUAUCAGAAGUGCGAAUGCUGACAUAAGUAACGAUAAAGCGGGUGAAAAGCCCGCUCGCCGGAAGACCAAGGGUUCCUGUCCAACGUUAAUCGGGGCAGGGUGAGUCGACCCCUAAGGCGAGGCCGAAAGGCGUAGUCGAUGGGAAACGGGUUAAUAUUCCCGUACUUGGUGUUACUGCGAAGGGGGGACGGAGAAGGCUAUGUUGGCCGGGCGACGGUUGUCCCGGUUUAAGCGUGUAGGUGUGUGUUCCAGGUAAAUCCGGUUCACUUUAACACUGAGGCGUGACGACGAGGCACUACGGUGCUGAAGCAACAAAUGCCCUGCUUCCAGGAAAAGCCUCUAAGCAUCAGGUAACAUCAAAUCGUACCCCAAACCGACACAGGUGGUCAGGUAGAGAAUACCAAGGCGCUUGAGAGAACUCGGGUGAAGGAACUAGGCAAAAUGGUGCCGUAACUUCGGGAGAAGGCACGCUGACACGUAGGUGAAGUGAUUUACUCAUGGAGCUGAAGUCAGUCGAAGAUACCAGCUGGCUGCAACUGUUUAUUAAAAACACAGCACUGUGCAAACACGAAAGUGGACGUAUACGGUGUGACGCCUGCCCGGUGCCGGAAGGUUAAUUGAUGGGGUCAGCGUAAGCGAAGCUCCUGAUCGAAGCCCCGGUAAACGGCGGCCGUAACUAUAACGGUCCUAAGGUAGCGAAAUUCCUUGUCGGGUAAGUUCCGACCUGCACGAAUGGCGUAAUGAUGGCCAGGCUGUCUCCACCCGAGACUCAGUGAAAUUGAACUCGCUGUGAAGAUGCAGUGUACCCGCGGCAAGACGGAAAGACCCCGUGAACCUUUACUAUAGCUUGACACUGAACAUUGAGCCUUGAUGUGUAGGAUAGGUGGGAGGCUUUGAAGUGUGGACGCCAGUCUGCAUGGAGCCGACCUUGAAAUACCACCCUUUAAUGUUUGAUGUUCUAACGUGGACCCGUAAUCCGGGUUGCGGACAGUGUCUGGUGGGUAGUUUGACUGGGGCGGUCUCCUCCUAAAGAGUAACGGAGGAGCACGAAGGUUGGCUAAUCCUGGUCGGACAUCAGGAGGUUAGUGCAAUGGCAUAAGCCAGCUUGACUGCGAGCGUGACGGCGCGAGCAGGUGCGAAAGCAGGUCAUAGUGAUCCGGUGGUUCUGAAUGGAAGGGCCAUCGCUCAACGGAUAAAAGGUACUCCGGGGAUAACAGGCUGAUACCGCCCAAGAGUUCAUAUCGACGGCGGUGUUUGGCACCUCGAUGUCGGCUCAUCACAUCCUGGGGCUGAAGUAGGUCCCAAGGGUAUGGCUGUUCGCCAUUUAAAGUGGUACGCGAGCUGGGUUUAGAACGUCGUGAGACAGUUCGGUCCCUAUCUGCCGUGGGCGCUGGAGAACUGAGGGGGGCUGCUCCUAGUACGAGAGGACCGGAGUGGACGCAUCACUGGUGUUCGGGUUGUCAUGCCAAUGGCACUGCCCGGUAGCUAAAUGCGGAAGAGAUAAGUGCUGAAAGCAUCUAAGCACGAAACUUGCCCCGAGAUGAGUUCUCCCUGAGACUUAGAGUCUCCUGAAGGAACGUUGAAGACGACGACGUUGAUAGGCCGGGUGUGUAAGCGCAGCGAUGCGUUGAGCUAACCGGUACUAAUGAACCGUGAGGCUUAACCUUACAACGCCGAAG